rnacentral:rRNA from 1 species
UACGUAGGGUGCAAGCGUUGUCCGGAAUUAUUGGGCGUAAAGAGCUCGUAGGCGGUUUGUUGCGUCGGCUGUGAAAUCCCGAGGCUCAACCUCGGGUCUGCAGUCGAUACGAGCAAACUAGAGUGUUGCAGGGGAGACUGGAAUUCCUGGUGUAGCGGUGGAAUGCGCAGAUAUCAGGAGGAACACCCGGUGGCGAAGGCGGGUCUCUGGGCGAGUGAACUGACGCUGGAGGAGCGAAAGCGUGGGGAGCGAACAGG